AAAAUGAUUUAGUAACAAAAACAUAAGACACAUGUUCUUUAAAAUAUAUAUUUUUCUCUGAUUCAAAGUAUUCAAAGCUGCUAAUAUAAGGCAAAGGUGUUUACACACACCUCAGUGAAAUACUUUGGAGUACUAUGGUACUAUCACAGUAUACUGUAAGUGUCACCUGCAGCUCUUACUGUACUUCCUAUAAUUGUUUGAUUUAAUGUCAUGGAGCAGCCAGUGGGUGGCGCUGUUAAAGUCUCUCUCUAGGUGUUUUGAUUCUAGGUCGCUGCUGAAGUUAGCUGGUGGUUCAUGUUGAAAACAUUAACAUCCUUCAGUUUUACAAAGUUCAUGGACAUGUUAUGAGUGAUGCAGCGACUACCCAGCUGUAGUUUCCAGCCACGUAUCUCUGGGACCUUCAGGACGAGAGAAAAUCACAGGUGCACUUUUCUUUUUUUUUUUAAAUAGUCCUUUAACUUUUAUAAAUGUUCUGCCACAAACUGGAUUGUGAGUAACUGGAUUGAGCCGCUGCUGAUUUCUGCUAGAUUUCUGCUGCUAUUGUGAGGUUCUCUCGAGAGCCUGUGAUGCUUCUACAACAACAUCCAUCUUUACUGAGAAGCGUGUGCUGAAAUUGAUCACUUUAACAGUUUCUGCUUUAAGAAAGACACCUAGAGUUCACAACAGCAACAGAAACCAUCGUUAAAAUACAGCUGUGUCUCAGCAGGGAAUGCUAUUGCUUCCUCUUCCAUUGCUCGGGAAACUUAAUUGGAACAAAACUUGGAUUGAAAUUGAAAAAUUAUUUGUCAUAUGUUUAUAGAGAAUAGAGCUACUACAUUAAUGAAGACAGUGGCUGGGAUAAUUUGUUCUUGAGAGAACGUGAUGAGAAAUGUUUGAGGGUUAUUAUAUCAGGGUUAUUAUAGUUAACUAAAAAUAAAACCAUAAAAAGGAUAUUUGUUACUUGAGAUAAAAUUAUCAUUAAUAAUAUAAAAUACAAACAAAUUUAUUUUAUUUCAGCCCAUUAACAAAGCAACAUUUCUCAUUUAGUUUAGCUUGAUGUACUAAAAUUAAAACCAUAAAAAAGACUGUUGUUACUUUAAAUAAAAUAAGCAUUAAUGAAAACAAAAUAAAAUGUAAAAUAAAAUAAAAUAUAUAGAAAACUUUUUGCCAAAUCAACAUUUCCCAUUUUUAUUUAGUUUAACUUGAUGUACUAAAAUAAAAAAAAUAAAAAAGUUGUUUGUUACUUGAAAUAAACGUUAAUAAAAUUAAAUAAAAUGUAAUAAUAUUUAUUUUUAAACUUAUUAAAAUUUAUUAUAAAACUUAUUAUAUUUCAGCUCUUUACCAAAGUAUCAUUUCUUAUUUAGUUUAUACUUGUACUAAA
rnacentral:lncRNA from 12 species